rnacentral:rRNA from 1 species
UACAGAGGUCCCAAGCGUUGUUCGGAUUCACUGGGCGUAAAGGGUGCGUAGGCGGUCGGGUAAGUCUGAUGUGAAAUCUCACAGCUUAACUGUGAAACUGCAUUGGAUACUAUCCGGCUCGAGGAAUGGAGGGGAGACUGGAAUACUUGGUGUAGCAGUGAAAUGCGUAGAUAUCAAGUGGAACACCAGUGGCGAAGGCGAGUCUUUGGACAUUUCCUGACGCUGAGGCACGAAAGCCAGGGGAGCAAACGGG